rnacentral:rRNA from 1 species
CUACAAAGGAAUUGACGGGACCCGCACAAGCGGUGGAUGAUGUGGAUUAAUUCGAUGCAACGCGAAAACCUUACCUACCUUUGACAUGUACGGAAUUCGCCAGAGAUGGCUUAGUGCUCGAAAGAGAACCGUAACACAGGUGCUGCAUGGCUGUCGUCAGCUCGUGUCGUGAGAUGUUGGGUUAAGUCCCGCAACGAGCGCAACCCUUGUCAUUAGUUGCUACAUUUAGUUGGGCACUCUAAUGAGACUGCCGGUGACAAACCGGAGGAAGGUGGGGAUGACGUCAAGUCCUCAUGGCCCUUAUAGGUAGGGCUACACACGUCAUACAAUGGAUGGUACAAAGGGUCGCCAACCCGCGAGGGGGAGCCAAUCCCAUAAAACCAUUCGUAGUCCGGAUCGCAGUCUGCAACUCGACUGCGUGAAGUCGGAAUCGCUAGUAAUCGUGGAUCAGAAUGUCACGGUGAAUACGUUCCCGGGUCUU